UACGAAGGGGGCUAACGUUGCUCGGAAUCACUGGGCGUAAAGCGCACGUAGGCGGCUUCUUAAGUCAGGGGUGAAAUCCUGGAGCUCAACUCCAGAACUGCCUUUGAUACUGAGAAGCUUGAGUCCGGGAGAGGUGAGUGGAACUGCGAGUGUAGAGGUGAAAUUCGUAGAUAUUCGCAAGAACACCAGUGGCGAAGGCGGCUCACUGGCCCGGUACUGACGCUGAGGUGCGAAAGCGUGGGGAGCAAACAGG
rnacentral:rRNA from 1 species